rnacentral:rRNA from 1 species
AACGAACGCUGGCGGCAGGCUUAACACAUGCAAGUCGAGCGCCCCGCAAGGGGAGCGGCAGACGGGUGAGUAACGCGUGGGAAUCUACCCAUCUCUACGGAAUAACGCAUGGAAACGUGUGCUAAUACCGUAUACGUCCUUCGGGAGAAAGAUUUAUCGGAGGUGGAUGAGCCCGCGUUGGAUUAGCUAGUUGGUGGGGUAAAGGCCUACCAAGGCGACGAUCCAUAGCUGGUCUGAGAGGAUAAUCAGCCACACUGGGACUGAGACACGGCCCAGACUCCUACGGGAGGCAGCAGUGGGGAAUAUUGGACAAUGGGCGCAAGCCUGAUCCAGCCAUGCCGCGUGAGGGAUGAAGGCCCUAGGGUUGUAAAGCUCCUUCACCGGUGAAGAUAAUGACGGUAACCGGAGAAGAAGCCCCGGCUAACUUCGUGCCAGCAGCCGCCGUAAUAC